rnacentral:lncRNA from 1 species
UGUACAGGGAGAAUAUAAGAGUGGUCAGGAUUAUGAGCUACUGGAUGCAAGCUACAUAAAAUAACUCAACAGCUCUUAUUUAGCCCAUUUCAUCUGAAACUUAUUACCUAACUUGGCUCAUUCUCUUUCACCACUCUUGCACAUACACCUCAUCUCCUCUACAGUGUUUCAACAGAUAAAUUCUCACUCUUUCAUUCUCACCAUUAUUCCAGAAAACCUCCCAAAUGGAUAGAGCCAUGCUGACAGUGAACAGCUUUUGUUGGCUUAGCCCACAUCCUUUGGUGUAAUGACACUAACAGGAAAACUCUUCCUGUUGCUCUCUAUGCUCGGAAGUGAUUACAGCACAAGGUCUGUAGUGUGGACAAAUUCUCACUGCUGCACAUCCCAGUGAUCACAGUUGGGCUAGCGCUCAAACCAACCAGAUGGAGAAAGUCUCAUAGUGCCAGGCUUUGGUGGCACAAUGGGACCCAAGAAGCCCCAUGUUCUGCACCUCUUCACUGGAAAAGACAGAAAACAGCAUUUGAAAGCAGAGGUUCACCUUCCACUGAAUACCAGAGUGCAAUGCAUCAAACAGUUUCUGGUGAAACCUCUGAAAGGGCAACAUUUCUUCAGCAGAAGGAUAUGACUUUCCAUCAAACCUAGAAAAAUAUUUAUGAGAUGCUUUUGUAUUUAUUUACCUAUUUUUUAGGAAACAUUUUUUUCUUUUCCAAGUUAAAAUUAAUACAUGUAUCAUGAAAUGUCACAUCUCAUUUUCUUGGAAGACCUAAGGCUAGGAAGGAAAGCAAGCAUGGUAAAUAUUGCAUUGGCUACAUUUUCAUAUUUUUAAAAGAUCAUCUGUAUGCUCAAGAUGAACAUAUAAAACAACAAAAAAUUGAAUACAUUACUAAUACAGGGUACUGGAGGAGAUAAUCUUGAAAGAUCCUUCAACAUCUCUUCAGCCAGCUUUAUUUUCCAUCUGGGACAAGAUGUGAAAAGGACAAUCCCUCUUUUAUUUGUUCAUACGUAUCUAAUCAGGCAGUUGGAUUGCCUGAAUAUGAAUGAAGACCCUAGGUGAAUGCAUAGAUUAGAAACCAACAGAAGGAGUAGAUCAGAUCCUGAUCCAAAGUGUAAUAGCCAAGGCAGACAAUUUUACAUUGGUUAACUGAGUAAUCAUUGUGCUACAUAAAAGAUCUAACUUGUUAUAAAAAUACACAUAUCGUGUUGGAUUGUGUGCUGCUGUGUGCUAGAAGAUACCAGAUCAUAAAGCAUGGUGCCAAGACUGGUAAUAAUCAGACUUAACAGAUAACACCAAUUUUAUAAUGCCUUCUUAAACAGCUGUUUGUCAGACAAUGAAAACAGUAAGAGAGAUUUGAUGCACUGAAGGAAUCACAAGUAGAGUUGGCUGGAAAAUGCAGAUGCAGCAAAACUUUCCCAGACUUCUUACUGUUUAGAGAAUGCUUCUGCUCACUGUGCAGACAAGGAAGACAAGUGGUGGACGACAUGGGUGUUGGCGAGCUUACUUGGGUACUUCUGUUAUAUGAACGAUGCAGAUGGGAGCAGCACCGAUGUCUGACGGUCCCUCCAGCUAGGGCUGCACCUGCAGACCAGGCUAUCUGUUUCUGAGCAAGCGUACAUUUCAGUUCAUAGGAUCCAAAUCACGUUUGCCCACCUUCAUUGCUAAAUACAUAUGGACUAGAUGGUAUUUGGUCAGGGCAGUGGCUGCAGCACUGCGGCCUUGGUGUUUAGUUAGUCUACUAGUAACAUAGGUAAUGCUUUCCAAUCACAUCAUUGUUGUAUGGAAUAAGCUAUGGAUGUAGAAAAGUAAGUACAUCUGGAAAAUGUAAACCCAAUUACCACGGAUAACAGACAGCUACAUUCAUAAGGAAGUUCAGCAUCUCUAAUGCAAGUCUGAUUUAUAAGCCUGUUCUUGCAACACAUGAAAAAUAACUGGUAUUGUAUUGCAUUUGUUCAAUCUCUAGUUUAGUAGACAAUAAAGGCCUGAUAGAGACUGGACCUACA